rnacentral:rRNA from 1 species
GACGGAGAUGCAAGUGUUAUCCGGAAUCACUGGGCGUAAAGCGUCUGUAGGUGGUUUAAUAAGUCAACUGUUAAAUCUUGAGGCUCAACCUCAAAAUCGCAGUCGAAACUAUUAGGCUAGAGUAUAGUAGGGGUAAAGGGAAUUUCCAGUGGAGCGGUGAAAUGCGUAGAGAUUGGAAAGAACACCGAUGGCGAAGGCACUUUACUGGGCUAUUACUAACACUCAGAGUCGAAAGCUAGGGUAGCAAAUGGG